GACGAACGCUGGCGGCGUGCUUAACACAUGCGAGUCGAACGGAAAGGCCCUGCUUUUGUGGGGUGCUCGAGUGGCGAACGGGUGAGUAACACGUGAGUAACCUGCCCUUGACUUUGGGAUAACUUCAGGAAACUGGGGCUAAUACCGGAUAGGAGCUCCUGCUGCAUGGUGGGGGUUGGAAAGUUUCGGCGGUUGGGGAUGGACUCGCGGCUUAUCAGCUUGUUGGUGGGGUAGUGGCUUACCAAGGCUUUGACGGGUAGCCGGCCUGAGAGGGUGACCGGCCAAAUUGGGACUGAGAUACGGCCCAGACUCCUACGGGAGGCAGCAGGGGGGAAUAUUGCAAAAUGGGCGGAAGCCUGAUGCAGCAACGCCGCGUGCGGGAUGACGGCCUUCGGGUUGUAAACCGCUUUCGCCUGUGACGAAGCGUGAGUGACGGUAAUGGGUAAAGAAGCACCGGCUAACUACGUG
rnacentral:rRNA from 1 species